GGAUGAACGCCGGCGGUCUGCUUAACACAUGCAAGUCGAACGGAGUAGAAAUACUUAGUGGCGGACGGGUGAGUAACGCGUGAGAAUCUGCCUUCAGGACGGAGACAACAGUUGGAAACGACUGCUAAGCCCCGAUAAACCGAAAGGGAAAAUAUUUAUAGCCUGAAGAUGAGCUCGCGUCCGAUUAGCUAGUUGGCGGAGUAAAAGCCCACCAAGGCGACGAUCGGUAGCUGGUCUGGAGAGGACGAUCAGCCACACUGGGACUGAGACACGGCCCAGACUCCUACGGGAGGCAGCAGUAGGGAAUCUUCGGCAAUGGGGGGCAACCCUGACCGAGCAACGCCGCGUGAGUGAAGAAGGUUUUCGGAUCGUAAAGCUCUGUUGUAAGUCAAGAACGGGUGUGAGAGUGGAAAGUUCACACUGUGACGGUAGCUUACCAGAAAGGGACGGCUAACUACGUGCCAGCAGCCGCGGUAAAUCGUAGGUCCCGAGCGUUGUCCGGAGUUUAUUGGGCGUAAAGCGAGCGCAGGCGGUUUGAUAAGUCUGAAGUUAAAGG
rnacentral:rRNA from 1 species